UGAAGAGGAAAAUUCUCGUCCUGGACCUGGACGAGACGUUGAUUCACUCCCACCAUGAUGGGGUCCUGCGUCCUACAGUUAGGCCUGGCACCCCCCCUGAUUUCAUCCUUAAGGUCGUCAUUGACAAACAUCCAGUCCGUUUUUUUGUACAUAAGAGACCGCACGUGGAUUUUUUUCUAGAA